UACGGAGGGUCCGAGCGUUAAUCGGAAUUACUGGGCGUAAAGCGUGCGCAGGCGGUUUGUUAAGCGAGAUGUGAAAGCCCCCGGGCUCAACCUGGGAAUUGCAUUUCGAACUGGCGAACUAGAGUCUUGUAGAGGGGGGUAGAAUUCCAGGUGUAGCGGUGAAAUGCGUAGAGAUCUGGAGGAAUACCGGUGGCGAAGGCGGCCCCCUGGACAAAGACUGACGCUCAGGCACGAAAGCGUGGGGAGCAAACAGGAUUAGAUACCCGCGUAGU
rnacentral:rRNA from 1 species